rnacentral:rRNA from 1 species
CCUGGCUCAGAUUGAACGCUGGCGGCAUGCCUUACACAUGCAAGUCGAACGGCAGCACGGGAGCUUGCUCCUGGUGGCGAGUGGCGAACGGGUGAGUAAUACAUCGGAACGUACCCAGGAGUGGGGGAUAACGUAGCGAAAGUUACGCUAAUACCGCAUAUUCUGUGAGCAGGAAAGCGGGGGAUCGCAAGACCUCGCGCUCUUGGAGCGGCCGAUGUCGGAUUAGCUAGUUGGUGAGGUAAAAGCUCACCAAGGCGACGAUCCGUAGCAGGUCUGAGAGGAUGAUCUGCCACACUGGGACUGAGACACGGCCCAGACUCCUACGGGAGGCAGCAGUGGGGAAUUUUGGACAAUGGGGGCAACCCUGAUCCAGCCAUGCCGCGUGAGUGAAGAAGGCCUUCGGGUUGUAAAGCUCUUUCGGCGGGGAAGAAAUGGCAACGGCUAAUAUCCGUUGUUGAUGACGGUACCCGCAUAAGAAGCACCGGCUAACUACGUG